UAACUCCUGACCUCAAGUGAUCCGCCCACCUCGGCCUCCCAAAGUGCUGGGAUUACAGGCAUGAGCCACCGCUCCGGGCCCUUGCACAUAUUUUUUUAUGAACACACAGGCAGCAGCACUUUGAUUACAGUAACUUACAUGGAAGUUAUUUUAAAAUGGCUUUCCCCUUCUCUUUUUCAUGUAGGCUGCAUUUUUCAUCUGCAGCACGCUUUCUCUCAAGAAUCUCAAGCACACACAAGAAACCAGAGAGUAAAAUCACUGAGGCGUGAACACAUCCAGAGACCAAGGGCGUCACUGGCAGAAAAGCUUUUAGGCGGAUCCACGGCCCGAGAGCCACCCUGCCCAGAGACGCGGUUUCCUAGGAGCAGUUCACACGCGGCUCUGCAGCACCCACAAGCGGGGCCAGGGGCUGGUUUUCAUAGUUCACAGUCUGCAGGGAUCUUAACAAAAACAUGGCCGUGGUAAAAGUGCCUAGACCAGGCUUUCGUCACAACUCAGUGAGUAGGAAGACUAGUUAGGCUGAUGAAAAGCUCUGAUGAUGUGUGAUUAAAAGUAGGAAAACGUGGUUGCCAAAUAAAAUAUUUUACUAUAUAGUCAGGGGGAGAGAUGGGGAUAAAAAAAUGUGGAAACCAUUUAUUUUAAAAUUUUGACUGUUCCUGCAGUGUUUAAAAUAUAGGAGAUAUAUUCUGAUUAUCUUUAGAAAGAAACUGCUCUCAAUCUAUUUGUAUGUCUUCCCUCUGGUUUUAAAAUAUUAAACAAUCAUCUAACUCAAUAUUUAAUUUUACCUCUAGUCAUGUUACUAGGUUAGGAUAAUAAAAAGGACUGUGAACUUCACAUCUGCCAUCUAUAAUAGAUUCUUAUUGUAGCAAUCUUGCACCAAGGGGAUUUCUUUAUUAACUCUGCCAAAUUUUCCAAAAUUACCAAAUGGAGAAAAGAGCUGGUCCCAUCUGUCACCAGGCACAACCAGCGCGAUACCUGACUUUCACCAUGAUGAAUGGAGACAGGAUGGGGUCUGAAUGCUAGUCUUCAAUGCACCAUACAACAGUGCUAGACCCUCAUCAGUAUGAAGGGGAACAAAGCCCUCCUUAAAAGAUUUACUAGAGUUAACACCUGGGGAUCCUCAAGAAAUGAAUGCUAUCAUUGUUCUGCUUCAGAAGUUUGGAACCAAAACUGCAGUGUCCCCAAGGCAUGCCUGUAGGUAAACAUGAGUCCAUACUGAUAAAUGAUCGAAUAAACAGGAGAGAAGAAACAAAUCUUCAAGAAGAAUAACAUGCACAGAUACUGCUCUCUCCAGGGGUUGGAGCUGAAACCUCCUCAACCCACAGAGUAUGGAAAGGGAAAAACAGGAACUUGACAGUGGAGAAAUCUGGCAGACACCACUGUGACCAGGUGGCCAAGGUCAGCACUGCCUGGGAUAGGUCGUGUGGUGGUUACAACCACCCAGUAGGAUGUGAUGAGAAAGGUGCUUGAGAAACACAUCAAACUCCAAUUGAGGGACAUUCUACAGACUACCUGGCCAGUACUCCUCAAAACUGUCAAGGUCAUGAGAAACAAGGGAAGUCUGAGAAACUGUCACAGGCAAGAGAACGCAAAGGAGAUGGGAUGACUAAAUGCAGUAUGUGCCUGGAUGGGACUCUGGGACAGAAAGCAGACAUUACGGAAAAACUGGUGAAAUCCAAAUCAAGGCUGGAUUUUAGUGAAUGGACACUAACAAUGUUGGUUUCUUAGUCAUGACAAAUGUACCAUGGGAAGAGAAGAGGUUACCAAUGGGGGAAACUAGGUGAGGGGCACACAUAAGCUCUCUGUACUAUCUCUGCCAUUUUUCUGUAAAUCAAAAAUUAGUCCAAAAUAAAAGUU
rnacentral:lncRNA from 1 species